rnacentral:rRNA from 1 species
UACGUAGGGUGCAAGCGUUAAUCGGAAUUACUGGGCGUAAAGCGUGCGCAGGCGGUUUUGUAAGUCUGACGUGAAAUCCCCGGGCUUAACCCUGGGAAUUGCGUUGGAGACUGCAAGGCUGGAGUCUGGCAGAGGGGGGUAGAAUUCCACGUGUAGCAGUGAAAUGCGUAGAGAUGGUGAGGAACACCGAUGGCGAAGGCAGCCCCCCUGGGUCAAGACUGACGCUCAUGCACGAAAGCGUGGGGAGCAAACAGGAU